UUGGAUAGGGUUUUUUGAGAUAAACAUUCCAUGUGUUGAUUUAUAGAGAAGUGUACCCCAAAUAAGCACUCUCUUAAAUGUAGUUGAGAUUUAUUGACCUCAAUAUUUGCCUUUUUCAAUUGCAUUAUGUGACACAUGUGUUGUACUAAGUACGUUUGCCCAGUAUUGAUAAAAGCUAUCAUUAGCAAACAUAUAGUUCACGAGUACAUUGGCUUUCAUUGGUGAACCUAAGGUUUAUGGUAGUCUAAGACGUUCUUUAUGAGUAUGAGGAUAUUUUUAGCGAGUUGAUAAUUCAAUCACAUAUUAUGCUAAUUUUUUUCCGUUAUUUCUACUUUUUUUGAAACAAUUCAUCGUUGAUUAAUAAAUUAAUAGUAGUAAUUACCCAAGAAUGUUGCAUAUGGAUGAAUUCAAUUAUUUGACAUUGGUAUUUUAAGAUUUCGAGGUAAUGUAAUAGAUAAUACAAUCCUUGUGGGAGGAUCAUUGUUAUGAAAUAAAUUUUUGGACCAUGAUUAUGGACUUAAUUUAAUAGUUUAAAGUAAUAAUCGGUACAAUUUUCCUAUUGCAGACAAUCAAUCGGCCAAAUUUUUUUACUUAAAAAGUAUGGCAAUGACUUCUACAACGUUUGCUUCGACCUUGACCAAUUGUGUUCCCGCAUUGAACAUAUUUUCUUAACAUUAAAUGUGGAUUAAUAGUUAACAUAUGAGAUUUCUUCCUUCCGAAGACCAAACCAAUCUUAUUGGUGAGUGAUGUAGGAGCACUGGCAUCUUUGCUGAAUUAGGGGAGAAUUUUGUAGAAGUAAGAGUUUUCUUUUCCAUCUUCUUUUGCAUUAUAUUAUAAGUUAUAUUUUCGUGAAUAAAUGUUAGUUUUAGUUUUAGCGAAAGUAUGACUUUAUUGCAAUUGGCAAUUGCUAUCCUUAAAGGAGAACUUGAACUAUAUUUUCAUUUUGAAUCAAAACUACUGUUUGUACUUUGAAAUAUAGUACUACCACUAGACAUGGUUAGUGCAAAUUUUGUCCUUGUGAGUGUCGAUUGAUAUGCAAAAGACAAUUUAAUGUUUGGGAUAACCUCAAAAUAUGC
rnacentral:lncRNA from 1 species